rnacentral:lncRNA from 1 species
CGUGGUUUCGUUUCAGUUUUCUGAACCGAACACGGCCCCUGGCCUACAAGAACGGGGCCGGCCUUAUGCCUCGUACACCUUGCACUCGUCGGUCUCGGGGUUGUCCUUGCAGAAGUCCUCCAGAGGGUCGCCGCUGCCGCCCGCCGCCGCCGCGCCCGGCCACUUGGCCGCCACCAGGUGCGCCAAAUCAACCACGCGUUGGCUGCACGCACGCAACCCCAGCGAGCGUUAGCAAAUAUACUGUCAGUGUGCGCAACGCGCAGUUUCAGUUGCAGAUGCAGAUAAGCACGUACCUGUAGCCCCACUCGUUGUCGUACCAGGCGACGACCUUGACCAUGUCGUCGCCCAUGACCAUGGUGAGCGAGGAGUCGAUGGAGGAGGACACGUCGGAGCACCUGAAGUCGACGGACACGAGCGGCUCGUCGCAGACCUGCAGCACGCCCUUGAGCGGGCCGGCGGCGGCCUUGCGGAACGCCGCGUUAACGUCGUCGGCCGUCAUGCCCUUCUUCUCCGUGUUGAUCACCAGGUCCACCACGGACACGUUCGGGGUCGGCACGCGGAGCGCGAUGCCGUUCAGCUUGCCCUUCAGCUGGGGAAGCACCAGGGCAACGGCCUUGGCAGCGCCGGUGCUCGUCGGCACGAUGUUCAGGGCCGCCGCACGGGCCCUCCUCAGGUCGCGGUGGGACGCGUCCAGCAGCCGCUGGUCGCCGGUGUAUGAGUGUGUCGUCGUCAUGGUUCCCUUCACAAUCCCUGCACAUCAUCGCGAAAACAUUCGUCAGAUGAGUGUGUCCAGUGUCUGACUCGUGGGGCGCACUUAUCAGACUGUGUGGUCAGGAACAGGAAAUAAGCAAAAAAGUUCUCACCGAACUCUUCGUCCAAGACCUUGACGAAUGGGGCGAGGCAGUUGGUCGUGCAGGAAGCAUUGCUGCAAGCAACAGAGUUGUGAUGCAGAUGAAUGUUAGGAUGAUACAGGGUCCCCUGAAUGACAUAGCGUAUAUGCCGGCACCGGCAGGAAUCAGGAUGCAGAGCAGUGCUGAAGCGCACACUGAAGCUUGAUUACCUGAUAAUGUCGGCCACGCCGUGGUCGUAGUCGCCCUCGUUGACACCGACGACAUAGGUCGGGAUGUCGGCGCCCUUCGCCGGAGCAGUGAUGAUGACCUUCUUCGCGCCGGCCUGGAUGUGCUUCCCGGCGCCGGGGCCGUCGACGAACACUCCGGU